GAUGAACGCUAGCGACAGGCCUAACACAUGCAAGUCGAGGGGCAGCACAAGGUAGCAAUACUGAGGUGGCGACCGGCGCACGGGUGAGUAACGCGUAUGCAACCUGCCUGUAACAGGGGAAUAGCCUCUUGAAAGAGAGAUUAAUGCCGCAUAAUACGAGAUUCGGGCAUCCGGAUUUAGUUAAACAUUUAUGGGUUACAGAUGGGCAUGCGUUUCAUUAGGUAGUUGGUGAGGUAACGGCUCACCAAGCCGACGAUGAAUAGGGGUUCUGAGAGGAAGGUCCCCCACACUGGUACUGAGACACGGACCAGACUCCUACGGGAGGCAGCAGUGAGGAAUAUUGGUCAAUGGACGCAAGUCUGAACCAGCCAAGUCGCGUGAAGGAUGAAGGUAUUAUGUAUUGUAAACUUCUUUUGUCAGGGAAUAAUGGGUGUCACGUGUGACGCAGANGAAUGUACCUGACGAA
rnacentral:rRNA from 1 species